UCCUUCCAAACAUAGUAAGAGUGCUCCCUUUGUAGCUACCUUCUGUAAAAACAAAAAUAACAUCCAUUUUCAAAGCUAAAUCACCUUGUUUAGAAGCCAAAGCAUAGGUUCCUUGAGCUCUUCCAAUAAGUUUUGAACUUAUAUCUUCUUCUUCAGUCAAAGGGUUAUCUAUAAUAAAAGUGGAUCCAAAAUCACCAUGAGAUGAUUCAUUAGGUGGACUGAUAAUUUUGAGUGUAUUUGGGUUUUCACCAUCUAGGGUGUCAUGGAAAUAGAAGUGUAGGUGGGUGAAAUUAUGUGGCUUCUCUAUAUUGGAUUCUUCUAAGGACAAUUCUAAGUUAGAUAAAGAAUCCAUAGUUUUUUUUUCUUCAAUUGUAGAGCUACUAAGGUGUGAAUGUGUGUGGAUGGCUUAAAAUGAAGAUACUAAUUUAUAGAAAUUUUGGGUGUUAAAUAAAAAUUAUUAUUUAAUUUGAAAUGCUUUGUAUUACUUACCAACAUGAUAAUAUUAUAUUUAAUUUGACUACUCCCUAAUAAGAUCCUUUAUAGAAUUAAUGCUUUUAUGGAAAAUUUUAAUAAAUUUAUUGUCAUUUUUUAUAAAUCUAUGGAGAAUAAUUUUCUUAUAUUUUUAAAGCAAUUUUUUCAUGAAAAUAUAGUAAAAUAGUAGGAGUUAUUUUAAUCAAUUUGUUUUAUGAAUUAAUACUCAGUAACAUAAUCUACACUGUUGAAAAUUAAAACUCAAAUAAUUUAAAAAAAUAUAAAUGUUAAAAUCAUGUUCGUAAAAUAUUAUCAAAAUAAUUUUUAAAAUAUUUAUAUCCAACAAAAUCUUAGCUAAAGCAUAAACUAUGUCAAAUCUUUUUUUUAAUAAAAAAUAUUUACAUAAAUAUUCAUUCGAUUUUUAAAAUUUAUUUUAAUACAAUACAUAUAUUUAUAUAUAUAGUAUAUAUAUAUAUAUAAUAUCUAAGUAGUAUAUAUUAUAUUAUAGUAUAUAUAUAUAUAUAUAUAUAUAUAUAUAUAUAUAUAUAUAUAUAUAUAUAUAUAUAUAUAUAUCUAUAUUAUAUAUAAUAUAUAAUAUAUAUAUAUAAUAAUAUAUAUAUAUAUAUAUAUAUAUAAUUAUAUAUAAUAUAUAAGAUAUAUAUAUAUAUAAGUACUAUAUAAUAUAUAUAUAUAAUUAUUAUAUAUAUAGUAUAUAAUAUAUAUAUAUCGUAAUUUAAAAUAUAGAGUUUAAAAAAAUGAAAUGAUCUCAAAUAAUUAUAAAUGGACAAAAUAAUAAAUUUAUAUCNNNNNNNNNNNNNNNNNNNNNNNNNCACCGUUUCUUGGAAUUUCUUGGUCAAACUUUUUACUAGAGCACACUCCUUAGCUACACCUUAUCGACAUGGUCAAUACCCAACAUUUGAACUUUAUUAUUCUCAGACAUAGAAACCUCAUAAGCCUUACAAAAUCAAUACAAAACAUCAUAAUGUUGUCACUCACACUAUUUCACCAAAUCAUUCAUUUCAGCGUUUUGUCAGGGGAACUUUCUCAUCAUCCUUUGAGUUGGAGACUCAGUCUCUAAACAGGUCAGACAUGGUUGGCAUGACAGAAUCCUGUUUGACAUCACACUUACAGAUCUUCAGCUAACAUCUUCAUCAAAUUCUUUAAAGACAUAAAGUAUAUACCAAUCUCUGUAGGUUCAAAAGUGAGUUGGCGACAUUAUCCAUGGGUUUAAACAAGACAAUUUCUAGAUGUGAGAACCUUAACAUUCAUUAAUAAACAUGAAUCAAAUUCUUAAAAAAAGAAUUGUCACCAUCAUUAAAGGUAUCUAUUACAUUAAUAAACCUUGAUUGUGGGUAAACGUAACAAUAAUAUCCAUAAGUAAAAAUUCCAAGUUUUACCUUGAGUGUAACUAGGCAUGAUAAGAGAAGAAAACCUCCGGACUUACCAUUAGCCUUUCUCUAAUCGCUAUGCCUUCUUACGAACUCCAUGGGUUUUUCUAUAUACACCAUAUUUUUCAAGCCUUUUUGAUGUCUUAUUUGGAAUGUCAAUUUAUUCUUCUGUUUCCUUGUUCCUAACAUGCUUUCAAAUUGAGUCCAAAAUUAGAGAGGAAUUGUAGAUUCAUAGAUUAGUUUGAGGCACAGAAGAGAAAACAAAAAAAUGGUCUUUUUGAAAAAUUUAAGCAUAGUAACUUGUUAUCACAGUAUAAUGUCAUGAUAUCCUAUGUGACAUCUUUCAUCAUUUGGUUACUCCACAACGGUUGAGGGAAACUACUUCCAGCAUAUAUACUUUGGAAUAAAGUUUCCAUUCUCCUUGCUUCACUUGAAAAUCAGGUAAGUAUGUAAAUUCACCUAUCAUGCCCAUCUAAAUUCAAACUUGCAUUUGUUGAACAAAAUGAUCUAAACAUUUACUUGACAUCCUUCAAAAUACAAUGACGUCAACAUAAAUCUCAACUAUCAUAAGAAUUUCAUUGUCUUCACAAUGAUCCUCCGGAAGUUCAACAACCUCUUAAAAGUCAAAGCUUCCUUUGAGAGAUCCCUUCAUGGGCUAUUCUCCUUAUGAUAUGCAUUCUUCCCUUCAACAUACUUUCCUCAGAAUGAAAAGACACAUUAUCUAAGAAAACAGUAGGAACAUUUGUGGAAUCUUUUUUCCACAAUAAUUUCUUGUUUUCUUGAGUGGGGAUACCACAAUGUAUAUAUGAUUUCCUCCACAUCAUCUUCCACAUAUUCCACUUCAGUUUGAAAAUCAUUAACAAAGACUUUUAUGAAUCCAUCAUAGAUUUUGUGUGCUUGUUAAACACUUGUAUACACCUUAUAAAGAAACACCAGAAAUCGCUUUCAUCACUACAUACCACAUCUUCACACAAUGUAUCAACAUCUUUCUCUGCAUCUUGUACAGUAGCUUGAGAAGAUAUCCUACCAGCACCUUUUGAACUCAACAUUUGUAUUCACAUUUUCUUGUAUUGGAAAUUGAAUUAUUUCCCGUAAGGCGUCAGAUUCCGCAUAAGAAUUUCAAUGAUAUGCCUUAUAACAGGUCCAUACGUAGGUGGGACUUCACAGACAUCUCCACUAGCAGCCAAAUCAGGUUAAUCAGAAUGUGGAGUAUUUAUGAAGAAAAAUGCUGGAGCGUUUUCCCAACAUACAAUUUAUAACUAAAAUUCAAUAAUGGUUGGGUAAAGAUGGGAGUAGAAGACUCAUUUAGCAAUCCAUUUAAUAGUGCAAAAAAUGGAAGUUGGUAUUCUCAAAAUUCUCUACCAUGUUGACUCCGAGUGCGAAUGAUGCCAACACAUUCUUCUUUUUCAUGUUUAAGUGAUGGGAAAAAGCUUCAAAGAUAGUGGAGUUAUGAGGCUUAUCACGAAUAGACUUAAUUUCUGGAGUAUUCAAUAAAAUAGACACAAACAUAUAUAUUUUCUCCAAGAUUUUCAUGCUUCAUGAUUCUCAAUACUUGUAGCACCACGCGCCAAGAUACCAUACAACAUGUUCCAUAUAUCUUGCCUAACAAGUUGCUUACAAAAAAAUCUUUCUUUCAAGUAACUUCAUAGAAACUUGGACUGAGCAUACCGGAGCUAACUCUUGUAAUUAACCUUUAGUAUCAAACACAAAACCAAAUGAGCCAAAUAUGCUAAACAACUUUCGCAACAUUUCCUUUUCAUUUUGCUUAUAAAAAUAUGUCAAUCCAAAUGUAAAACACUACACCAUUUCUAUUAAUGUCAUAUAGUACCCUUUUCAGGCAUGGAUUCUCCAGCAUUUUCCCACGCAUAUUCGGUUGGUCAUAUAUUGAUAACUAACUGAAGAUAUGCAUAUGCUGUGCAUUCAGUCUGUUCAGAGGGAAUCAGACGACAAUCCCUUCAGAGUUGUACUUGACUACAUGGUAGUGAUAUAUACACUGCAUUUGGUACAUAGAUCACCGUGAGAUGCGUUCGUUGAACAACAUAACCUUCUACUUUGGAUGGUUGGCUUGUGGGUCACGCUGAUGUAUCACAUCUGUCUGAGCAUAUAUGCCCAGUUCAGGUAUAUGCAGUUGUUCCAGAGACUCCUUUGAUUAUGCUCCUCCUACCAUGGCCGCAGAGAUGUAGAUGUCAGUAUGAUGAUUACCUUAAUCAUUUGGUUACCGGAUGACAACAAAGGUACCCUAGCUCUAGCGACUGGAGUUGUGCAUAUGAAGUCACCGCCUUGCAUUUUAGGUUGUCACAUCAUUAUUUGACACUGGAUGUUCCAGGAGUUCCACCUAGGCCAACUCAUCCGAAGAUACUAGAGGACGAGCAAGCUAGGGAUGCAUCAUGAAUUUGCACAUGCAGAUAUAAACUAUGAGUCUUUCAGAGGGACAUUAUGGGUGUCAUCCUUAACGAGACAACAUGUGACACUACAAUAUAUGAGGCAACAUAGGAACAAGGGGUCCGACAUACACAGUAGUAUAAUAUUUGUAUUUAGAAACACUAUUAUCGUUGUAAUUUAUUUGACUUUAUUAUGGAUUUCAAUUAUUCAUCUUAUUAUAUGGCCUUUCAUCUUUUUUAAGUGUAUGAUUUAAUUUAUAAAAAUUAUUAUUAUGAUAGUAUAGCAUAUACAUAGAUACUACAUCGGUGUAUCUCUAAAACAAAUUCAAUAUUUAUCUAUAAGAAGAGCAUCUUUGUAUUCUGUUUAGAGUGUAUAUGGAGAUGCAUCUCCAGAUCUUAUAUAUCUCAAAACAAUGUGUCUUAGUUAGGAAUACAUGAAGUGCGCAUAGGGUGAAUACAUAAGUGUAUUUCCAAACUAAAUUUGGGGAAAAAAUAGGAUGAGUCUUACUAGACAUGUUACAGUGUGGAAAGGGUGCUCCGAAAAUGUACCUCCAAAUUUAAGAAUAUUUUUUGGAUUUUCAUAUGUGUUUCUCUACUACUUAGGGGGAGAAGCAUCCCAAAUAAAGAGAUGCACUUCAUCAUAUAAAAUCGAUACAGAGGUAUCACCCACCUAUAAAAAAAUUGACCCGAUCCCCACUUCUGGCCUCUUUCACAAGUUUCUUACAUAUCACCCGGGCUUAAAUUAGACAAAAAAGACAGUAAAAACACCCAUACAACAUAAGAAAAAUUCAAUCCAUGAUAGAAAAAUUAACUCAACAACUACUCUCCAAACAAACUCCAUUAGUAACAAAAGAAAAUACUAUUUAGUCAAAAAAUUGAUUCCGCAGAUCUUUCAAGUUCACUCUUUAAAGAUACAUGGAUUAGUUGCCACAUUCUCAUGAAACCAUUAUCACAAAAUCAUCUAUAUAUUAUCCAAUAUUGUCCAAUAAUGACCUCUAUUUAUUGAAUUUUUAUAUUUUUUUGAUAGCAAGAGAGAUUAAUUGAUCAUGAGUACAAGGUUACUUAACCUUACAAACAAAAAUAAGAAACAACUAAACAACGAAACUUAGCAUUUCAAUUAAGAUAACUUAGUACUCAAGUGAAAUUUUCAUUCUGUUCCCGGUCCACAAAUUGACUGACCCUUCGAAUUAACGGUUUUGUAAUCAACACCUUUUAACUUUCAAGUUAACCAUACAUAUAAACAAAUAUAAAUGAUGAUUUUAACUUUCAUGUUUAAUAAUACAUAUAAACAAAAAUAAAUGAUCCUAUAUAAUCAAUAUUACACAUAAAUAACAGAUAAACGGACAACAACAAAUAAAUAAUUAUUUUAACUUUCAAAUUUAAUAAUACAUAUAAGCAAGAAUAAAUGAUUAUAUAUAAUCAAUAUUACACGGAAAUAACAGAUAAACAGACGACAACUGCUACGCAUUUAGGGACAAAAUCAAUCCCUUUAAAAGUUUAUUUCAUUGUCGUAUAUGACAAAAUCAAUAACAUUUUUAUUUUGCCUUAAGAAAAAACUCCUUUAUUAAUUGAAAUAGAUAUUAGAAACAUGUUAACCUAUUAAUGAUAAAUCUUAACAUCAAAUUCCUCAAUAGCAUUUCCAGAAGCAGGAUCAAACAAAGUAGUCUUUGCCAAAGCAUACCCUCUUGCAAACCUAAAGACACCAGUACCACCAACAAUAGGCAUUUCUCUAACUUCAUCCAUAAUAGCAUUCCUUCCAAACACUAGUAAGAGUGCUCCUUUGUAGCUACCUUCUGUAAAAAACAAAAAUAACAUCCAUUUUCACAAGCUAAAUCACCUUGUUUAGAAGCCAAAGCAUAGGUUCCUUGAGCUCUUCCAAUAAGUUUUGAACUUAUAUCUUCUUCUUCAGUCAAAGGGUUAUCUAUAAUAAAAGUGGAUCCAAAAUCACCAUGAGAUGAUUCAUUAGGUGGACUGAUAAUUUUGAGUGUAUUUGGGUUUUCACCAUCUAGGGUGUCAUGGAAAUAGAAGUGUAGGUGGGUGAAAUUAUGUGGCUUCUCUAUAUUGGAUUCUUCUAAGACAAUUCUAAGUUAGAUAAAGAAUCCAUAGUUUUUUUUUCUUCAAUUGUAGAGCUACUAAGGUG
rnacentral:lncRNA from 1 species